GGCAGCAAAGUGAUGCCGUAGAAUAGGAUGCACGGGGCUAAUAGGUCAGAAGAAUGAUUCAGAUGUAUUCCUCUUUCUUCUGCAAUGCCAGAGAUGAAGUCCCUAAUCAUUUGGAGAGUCCCAUGCAGAGGAAAGCACUGGCAGAUGUUCAGAUGAUCUUUAAUUGAAGUACUUUUCUCUUGUUGCUUCUUAACUAGCAUUCCACCCCACCACAGCUGAUGUCAUCUGUGACAUCAUGAAGAUGGCAACCAUCUACACUGCAGUACUCUGAUAGUGCAGUACCCGCAUGCUCUUUAAUAGUUCCACAAAAGGUCUCUGCUUAAAGACUAGUGCCAGGACUGUUAGGAUGGAAAUAAAACGUGAUAUUCCAUGAU